AGCGAACGCUGGCGGCAGGCUUAACACAUGCAAGUCGAACGGUCCUUCGGGAUAGUGGCGGACGGGUGAGUAACACGUGGGAACGUACCCUUAGGUUCGGAACAACACAGGGAAACUUGUGCUAAUACCGGAUAAGCCCUUCGGGGGAAAGAUUUAUCGCCUUUGGAGCGGCCCGCGUCUGAUUAGCUUGUUGGUGAGGUAAUGGCUCACCAAGGCUACGAUCAGUAGCUGGUCUGAGAGGAUGGCCAGCCACACUGGGACUGAGACACGGCCCAGACUCCUACGGGAGGCAGCAGUGGGGAAUCUUGCGCAAUGGGCGAAAGCCUGACGCAGCCAUGCCGCGUGGAUGAUGAAGGUCUUAGGAUUGUAAAAUCCUUUC
rnacentral:rRNA from 1 species